rnacentral:rRNA from 1 species
UACGUAGGGUGCAAGCGUUGUUCGGAAUCAUUGGGCGUAAAGCGCGUGUAGGCGGUUCGUUAAGUCGGAUGUGAAAUCCCUGGGCUCAACCGAGGAAGUGCAUUCGAAACUAGCGAGCUGGAAGAUGGUAGAGGAAGGUGGAAUUCCUAGUGUAGAGGUGAAAUUCGUAGAUAUUAGGAGGAAUACCGGUGGCGAAGGCGGCCUUCUGGACCAUUCUUGACGCUGAGACGCGAAAGCGUGGGGAGCAAACAGG